rnacentral:misc_RNA from 1 species
ACUCCUUCAUACUCUUUGAGAAUGUGUGACGAGCUGCCGAUGCAUUCUAUCGUCCCCACACCGGGGAACGUGAAGAGAAGCACCGUGUGGUGAUGUGCCGUGUCCUGUGUGGGUAUGUGUGAAUGUGUGCGAGUGUGUGAAUAUGUGUGUGUGAAUGUGUGUGUCUGUCCUGUGACCAGCCAGCAUUGACACGAGCGGUGAUCUGCGUCCACAUCUCUUUUCAUGGUGCUCAACUUGUGUGUGAACUGUCCGCCGGGCCAUGCCAGUGUCUGGUCCGCAUGUUGGGAACACACUUCCAAGUUCAAAGAGAUCAGUCAGUUAAAGAUUGCUGAAUGAACGAACGAACUUACAAAUUGAUCCAUAUGUUAAGAAAGACGACGUCUAUCCAUCGCCAUGUGUGAACAAACGUGAAGAAGAAAAAGAGAAUCAUAAUGAAACCUAUAAGCCCUAGACGUGGAUAGGCUUUUGUUCUUUUGUUUACAAUUGUCUUUUUUUUUUUUGUCUGAUUUGACUGGGUGACUAGAAAAGAUAUUCUCGUCAGAUUAUGGAUUUUUCACCUGGUUUUCAGUGAGGGCUGAAGUGUGGUUUAGCUGCAGCGGAGGAACUGAAAACCUUUCACUUGCCAUUGACAAACUAUUUAUUCAAAUUGUGCCUAGUUUUUUUCUCUCUCUUUUUUCUAGGGUUUGGAGUUUUGAGGAGUGAAGGAAUUUCGUUCCACCAUUGUUUUGGCGCUAUUUUUGGAGUCUCUGUACUGUUUCGCAUCUUGCAAAGUUGUUUUUUUUUCCUUCAGCUUUUGUUUCCUAAUGUUAGUGCGAUUAUGGUGUUGAACGCCUUUGUAUUAUUGCUGGUGGUUCUGUUGGCAGUUGUCCAUUGCGGGUAUAGGCGAUGGAUCAGACUAUGCAGUCAUCUGCUCUUUCCGUGGAUACACCAUCAGACAGUUGGGCAGAGAACAUCAGUUCAAUUCUGACUCUCACUUUUGUUGCUGUCAUUGACUAUUGCCUUGUACUCACAUUAUUUAUGUCACUCAUACGUAUCAGAUAACACUUAACUGUCCUUUUCUGACAAUAAUGCAUUAGUUUUUCUUUAUUCUGCUAAUCAGGUAACUUAAUCAGUUUUUUUUUAUAUACUGAACGCUUUUUUAUGCAGUUGUAUUUCAUUUUUUUUUUUUGGGGGGGGUUAU